rnacentral:rRNA from 1 species
GACGAACGCUGGCGGCGUGCUUAACACAUGCAAGUCGAACGGUGACCCAGGGCUUGCCCUGGUGAUCAGUGGCGAACGGGUGAGUAACACGUGGGCAACCUGCCCCUGACUUCGGGAUAACUCCUCGAAAGAGGAGCUAAUACCGGAUACGACCACUUCGGACAUCCGAUGGUGGUGGAAAGUUUUUCGGUCAGGGAUGGGCCCGCGGCCUAUCAGCUAGUUGGUGGGGUAAUGGCCUACCAAGGCGACGACGGGUAGCCGGCCUGAGAGGGCGACCGGCCACACUGGGACUGAGACACGGCCCAGACUCCUACGGGAGGCAGCAGUGGGGAAUAUUGCGCAAUGGGCGAAAGCCUGACGCAGCGACGCCGCGUGAGGGAUGAAGGCCUCGGUUGUAACCGUCUUUCAGCAGGACGAAGCGAAAGUGACGGUACCGUGCAGAAGAAGC